GUUAAGCGACUAAGCGUACACGGUGGAUGCCCUGGCAGUCAGAGGCGAUGAAGGGCGUGCUAAUCUGCGAUAAGCGCCGGUAAGGUGAUAUGAACCGUUAUAACCGGCGAUACCCGAAUGGGGAAACCCAGUGUGACUCGUCACACUAUCAUUAACUGAAUCCAUAGGUUAAUGAGGCGAACCGGGGGAACUGAAACAUCUAAGUACCCCGAGGAAAAGAAAUCAACCGAGAUUCCCCCAGUAGCGGCGAGCGAACGGGGAGGAGCCCAGAGCCUGAAUCAGCAUGUGUGUUAGUGGAAGCGUCUGGAAAGGCGCGCGAUACAGGGUGACAGCCCCGUACACAAAAGCGCAUGUGCUGUGAGCUCGAUGAGUAGGGCGGGACACGUGGUAUCCUGUCUGAAUAUGGGGGGACCAUCCUCCAAGGCUAAAUACUCCUGACUGACCGAUAGUGAACCAGUACCGUGAGGGAAAGGCGAAAAGAACCCCGGCGAGGGGAGUGAAAAAGAACCUGAAACCGUGUACGUACAAGCAGUGGGAGCCCCACCACUAAGCCAGUGGUGAACUCCACAUACGCAUCCUUUGCUGAGGAUACGGUUAACGGAGCGAAAGCGACGUUCAACCGCAAAAGAAGCAGAGGGGGCUUAGUGGUGGGGUGACUGCGUACCUUUUGUAUAAUGGGUCAGCGACUUAUAUUCUGUAGCAAGGUUAACCGUAUAGGGGAGCCGUAGGGAAACCGAGUCUUAAC
rnacentral:rRNA from 1 species